CAAAGAAUUCUCCUUUUGGGCUUAA
rnacentral:ncRNA from 6 species